GUGCCAGCAGCCGCGGUAAGCGCACCGCCUGGGGAGUACGGCCGCAAAGUUAAAACUCAAAGGGAAUUGACGGGGGCCCGCACAAGCGGUGGAGCAUGUGGUUUAAUUCGACGCAACGCGCAGAACCUUACCAGCCCUUGACAUGGGCGCCGCCGCCCGGGGAGACCCGGGCUUCCCCUCGGGGGGCGUCCACAGGUGCUGCAUGGCUGUCGUCAGCUCGUGUCGUGAGAUGUUGGGUUAAGUCCCGCAACGAGCGCAACCCUUACCUUCCGUUGCCAGCGGGUUGGGCCGGGCACUUGGAAGGGACCGCCGGUGACAAGCCGGAGGAAGGUGGGGACGACGUCAAGUCCUCAUGGCCCCGAUGGGCUGGGCCACACACGUGCUACAAUGGCGGUGACAGUGGGCAGCGAAGCGGCGACGCGGAGCCAAUCCCCAAAAGCCGUCUCAGUUCGGAUCGCGGGCUGCAACCCGCCCGCGUGAAGGUGGAAUCGCUAGUAAUCGCGGAUCAGCACGCCGCGGUGAAUACGUUCCCGGGCCCUGUCAUCGCCGCCCGUC
rnacentral:rRNA from 1 species